GUCGAAUUGUGAUUUUUUUAGCUGCGAUGAAGGAUCAAAAAAGUCUUGCCUUUUAGGCGAUUCUCCCCAAGGACACUGUCUCAAAUCUAGUGAGAGCUGUGACGCAGGUUGGAGAUCGAUUUGCGGUAGCGGUGCUUUUCUCGCAUGCACGGAGUCAAAUGGAGAAUGCCUAUGCCGUUGCGCAAGCAGCCCAGCAGAAGCCGGUACGAAUUGGACUACUGUAAUUUUUUCUGGAGGAUCAGGAAGAUAACGAGAUUCUUUUGCUUAUUUUGUUCCUUGCACAUCGCCUCUGCCAGCUUCUUUUGUAAAGUGAGCUCGCUGCAAGGGUAUUAAACGAAAAAAAAAAAAAUCCUGGCGCAUCUUUUUUAAAGUUCUUGUUAUUUUCCUAAUUAUAACAGCAAAGUAGAUUUUAGUUACAGAAUGUACCUCAAGUUCUUCAACUGGCAUCACUCCUCAUCCUGGCACUCAGUGCGACGGUUCGG